rnacentral:rRNA from 1 species
UUCCCUACGGGGCGCAGCAGUGAGGAAUAUUGGUCAAUGGACGAGAGUCUGAACCAGCCAAGUAGCGUGAAGGAUGACUGCCCUACGGGUUGUAAACUUCUUUUAUAAAGGAAUAAAGUGAGGCACGUGUGCCUUUUUGUAUGUACUUUAUGAAUAAGGAUCGGCUAACUCCGUGCCAGCAGCCGCGGUAAUACGGAGGAUCCGAGCGUUAUCCGGAUUUAUUGGGUUUAAAGGGAGCGUAGAUGGGUUGUUAAGUCGGUUGUGAAAGUUUGCGGCUCAACCGUAAAAUUGCAUU